UCCUACGGGAGGCAGCAGUGGGGAAUUUUGGACAAUGGGGGCAACCCUGAUCCAGCAAUGCCGCGUGUGUGAAGAAGGCCUUCGGGUUGUAAAGCACUUUUGUCCGGAAAGAAAACCGCUUCUCUAAUACAGAGGCGGGAUGACGGUACCGGAAGAAUAAGCACCGGCUAACUACGUGCCAGCAGCCGCGGUAAUACGUAGGGUGCAAGCGUUAAUCGGAAUUACUGGGCGUAAAGCGUGCGCAGGCGGUUCGCUAAGACCGAUGUGAAAUCCCCGGGCUUAACCUGGGAACUGCAUUGGUGACUGGCGGGCUAGAGUAUGGCAGAGGGGGGUAGAAUUCCACGUGUAGCAGUGAAAUGCGUAGAGAUGUGGAGGAAUACCGAUGGCGAAGGCAGCCC
rnacentral:rRNA from 1 species